AAUUCACCAUGGAGAGGUUCUGCAGGAAAGCUGUGUUUUGUUGUAAGGGACAUUAGCUCUUACAAAAACUUUGUCUUGAUUUUUUUUUUUUUUUUGCUGUGUCUUGUUUUGUCUUGCUCUCCAAGCAUUUGAGCUGAAACAAAUAAGUAAAAUGUCGAUUUAAUGAGGAUUCAAGCUAUGUAGCCCCAGAGGAAGGAAGUGGGACUUUUAAAAUAAAGAACGUCAUCUAUCCUCUGCCACAGACCGGAACGCCGUGGUGUCUCAGCACCAGCCCAAGCACUUUGGAGAGCUUGUUGAAUCCGAUCCUGAACAGUAGGAGAGACAAGGUCUCACUUUGACACCCAAGCUGGAGUUCAGUGGCGCGAUCAGAGCUCAUUACAGCCUCCAACUCCUGGGCUCAAGCAAUCCUCCUGCCUCAUCCUCCCAAGCAACUGGAGCUAAAAGUGUGCACCAUCAUACCUGGUGCCUUUAUUCCUAAAUGUUUCUUCAUGAAGGAAGAUACAAAUUUACAUGAGCCUAUGCUGUUCACAUGAGUAAGGGGAAAACAGAGAGAACUCAGGGGCACCCACAUAUUAUGCUUUAUAAUUUGACCUAGGAAUAGUCUUGAAUAAGCAACUUGGGUUUCCCCUCCCAGAAAAUACUUUGACAUACAUUAAUUUAUUCAUUUAAAACUCAUUAUUUACUGGGUUUCCAUGAGGUGUCUCUGAGACUCACUCUUCCCCCUUUGUUCUCACAGUAUUUUAAAUAUCCUUAAUAUAAUCUAUCCUGCAAUUUCUUAUUGUUGCAUGCCCUCCUUUCUUUUUGGAGUGUGAGCUCUUUGGUGACAGGGACUUCAUAUGUUUUCUCAUCCUUCCAGCACCUAAAACUGUUUCUGGCAUAUGCAGAGUAAUCUAUAAAAAACUUUAAGAUCUGUUAAUGAAUCAAGUUAUUUGUGAUUGUGCCUGGUAUUCUUUCAUUUAUUUAUACAUUUAUCUGUGUGUCUAUUUGUACACCCCCCCAUCAAUUUAUCAAAGCAUCCAUCCAUUCAUUCAUCCACCCACCCAUUUUUCUCCCUGAUCUCACCCCAUUAACAAUUUGUGGAAAACAAUCUGACAAAUUCACCAAAAAAGGCAAUAAAGGAAAAGGAUUUUCCAUCCAUUAUCCAUUCUUUUUUUCUGCCUUCAUUUUCACUUCUACCAUCUCUCCUGCAUAUCUCUUCCUCUUUCUCUGGAGAGUUACAGGAAUGAAAACGAGAUGGGUCCUGAAGAGUUGGUAAGGGGAGUAAAUUGCUUGGUGACAGCUUGGUUCCAGAGACGGAUGAAAACCUUAGCCUUAAGCAAAGUUCAGGGAAGCCCAAGGAGAGAGCUGAUGGACAGUCUGACUUGUUGAGGGUGAAAUCAAUUAAAGUACAUCAAAUCCAGAAUUCAUGCUUUCUCAGAGUGACAAAUCUAUGCUGGAAACUGAGAAAGACGAAAGGAGAAAAUUGCCUUUGACCUUUUGAAGACCGGCUGUUCCUUCUGUCAGGGGAGCCAGGCCUGGAGUGAGAUGCGUUCAUGAUGAAUUAUAACAGCCAGCUACCUUAAAAAAGAACGGGGUGAAAAGGUUACCAAAGAGAACCAAAAUGUGAGGAAUUCAACCAAACAUCAAGAUAAAUCAACUUGGCCAGGAGUAUUUGUGCCAUGCCUGCUCAGAGCUGCUAUGGACAAGCUCAGUUUGUUAGUUCAGCUCUUUGAAGCAUGAUAUGCAGACACACUUGCAUGUUCACACACUUUGUUUGCCAAAAUGUGGGAAGGUAAUCAGAAGAGAAGAGCCACAAGAUUGUCAGUCUAGCAUCAGAAAUUUGGUGGCAUAGCGUUUCUGUACAACGCUGUCCACUAAAACUUUUUGUCAUGAUGAAGAUGUCCUAUAGCUAAGCUGACCAAUACGAUAGACAUUAGUCAUAUUUGACGUUGAGCACUUGGAAUAUGGGUAGUGAAAUUGAGGAACUGAAUUUUUAUUUUUUGAUUUUAAUUAUUUUAAAUGUAAGUAGCCACAGAUGGCUAAAAGCUACUGUAUUGAAUGGUGAAGCUCCAGGACAAAGGAUGUUUUUGCCUUCAACAAUAUCAGAAAAGCAGGGGUGAGUGGAUUGUCAGAUUGCAGUACAAUUGCUUGCAUUUUUGCAGAGUUCGUGGGAGAAACUCAUUAUAUUCAUUUGUAAUGCUUGUUGGUAAAUUUGAUUUUCUCUUUAGAAUGUAGAGAUUAAAUCUUGGUUUAAAACUGCCUCUCUGAGAGCAGUUUCUCCAUCAGUGAAACGGGCAUAAUUUCAACUCUUUGAGAGUGCUCCGUUAUGCAAUAUAUGCAAUGUUUCUUAUCUCAGUGUCUGAAAACAGUUCAUACAAGUUUGCUGUGCUUGAUGCUAUUACUAUUACUAGUAUUGUGAUUUAAAAGCAAAGGAGAUUGUUGGUGAGAAAACAAGUUGUUCCACCUGGAGAUUUAUGCUGAAAUAACCACUUUACAUCACAACCCAUGGAGUCCUUGACCUUAGCUUAGUUUGUCUAUCCCACCACCAGAUGCCAUUUAGAAAAUUAUCAGCUGUUUCUGGAUAAAUGGGUAUUUUGGUUUCCUAGAGAUCAAACUGAAGAUUGAAAAACAGAAAUAAUUUGUUGACAAUUGUCCUAGUUUCUUACUGGUUCCGCACUGAGGGGAACUUUCCAAAUAACUACUAUUUGCAUUCUUUGGCAUCCAAAUUAAUAUUAUCAUUUCCAAAUUUGAGCCAUUUUGCCUGGAAAACAUUCUUACCAAGUUUAACAAGUUUUAAUAUUUCCUGUCUUUAGAAAAAUAAAAUGUGCAACAAGACUUAACCUUUUAAAACUUUUUUCUGAAACACACAUGCACAUCCAUAUGCAUACAUGCACACACACACACUUACCCAGAGGCAUAAAAUUUACGUAACAUAAAAUUAGCUUUUGCUUGCUUCCACCUUUUGGCUAAUGUGGAUAGUGCUGUUAUGAUAUGAUAAUCUGUGCAAUAAUUCGUUUCAGUACCUGUUUUCAUUUCUUCUCGGAAUAUACCUAUGAGUAGAAUUGCUGGACUGUGUGUUAAUUCUAUGUUUAACAUUUUGAGGAACUGCAAAACUGUUUUCCAUAAUGACUGCAUCAUUGUACACUCCUAUCAACAAUGUAAUGCUCAUCAACACUUGUUAUUCUCCUUUUAAAAAAAUUGUAUCUAUCCUAGUGGGGGUGAAGUGGUAUCUCAUUGUGUUUUUUUAUUUGCAUUUCCCUAACGAGUAAUGAUACUGAGCAUCUUUUCAUGUGUUUAUUGGCCAUUUGUAUAUCUUACUCAAAGAAAUGUCUAUUCAAAUUAUUUACUUAUUUUAUUGCUUAAUUGCUCUGGCUAGAAUUUCUCAUGCAACAUUAAAUGGCAGUGAUGAAAGUGG
rnacentral:lncRNA from 1 species